UUAACGCUAGCGGCAGGCCUAAUACAUGCAAGUCGAACGGGAUUGGCUGUAGCAAUACGACCAUGAGAGUGGCGCACGGGUGCGUAACACGUAUGCAACCUACCUGUAACUGGGGGAUAGCCUCCCGAAAGGGAGAUUAAUACCGCAUAACAUUGCGAAGUGGCAUCACUUUGCAAUUAAACCUCCGGGGGUUACAGAUGGGCAUGCGUCCGAUUAGCUAGUUGGUGAGGUAACGGCUCACCAAGGCUCCGAUCGGUAGGGGGUCUGAGAGGAUGAUCCCCCACACUGGUACUGAGACACGGACCAGACUCCUACGGGAGGCAGCAGUAAGGAAUAUUGGACAAUGGGCGAAAGCCUGAUCCAGCCAUGCCGCGUGUGUGAAGAAGGUCUUCGGAUUGUAAAGCACUUUAAGUUGGGAGGAAGGGCAUUAACCUAAUACGUUAGUGUUUUGACGUUACCGACAGAAUAAGCACCGGCUAACUCUGCGCCAGCAG
rnacentral:rRNA from 1 species